rnacentral:rRNA from 1 species
UGACCUCGGAUCAGGUAGGGAUACCCGCUGAACUUAAGCAUAUCAAUAAGCGGAGGAAAAGAAACCAACAGGGAUUGCCUCAGUAACGGCGAGUGAAGCGGCAACAGCUCAAAUUUGAAAUCUGGCUCUUUUAGGGUCCGAGUUGUAAUUUGUAGAAGAUGCUUUGGGAAUGGUUCCGGUCUAAGUUCCUUGGAACAGGACGUCAUAGAGGGUGAGAAUCCCGUAUGCGACUGGUCGCCUGCCCCGUGUAAAGCUCUUUCGACGAGUCGAGUUGUUUGGGAAUGCAGCUCAAAAUGGGUGGUAUAUUUCAUCUAAAGCUAAAUAUUGGCCAGAGACCGAUAGCGCACAAGUAGAGUGAUCGAAAGAUGAAAAGCACUUUGGAAAGAGAGUUAAACAGUACGUGAAAUUGUUGAAAGGGAAGCGCUUGCAACCAGACUUGCACGUAGCUAAUCAUCUGGUGUUCUCACCGGUGCACUUGGCUAUGUUCAGGCCAGCAUCGGUUCAGGUGGUGGGAUAAAGGCCUUGGGAAUGUAGCUUCUUUCGGGGAGUGUUAUAGCCCUCGGUGCAAUGCCGCCUACCUGGACCGAGGACCGCGCUUCGGCUAGGAUGCUGGCGUAAUGGUUGUAAGCGACCCGUCUUGAAACACGGACCAAGGAGUCUAACAUCUAUGCGAGUGUUUGGGUGUCAAACCCAUACGCGUAAUGAAAGUGAACGGAGGUGAGAACCCUUAAGGGUGCAUCAUCGACCGAUCCUGAUGUCUUCGGAUGGAUUUGAGUAAGAGCAUAGCUGUUGGGACCCGAAAGAUGGUGAACUAUGCCUGAAUAGGGUGAAGCCAGAGGAAACUCUGGUGGAGGCUCGCAGCGGUUCUGACGUGCAAAUCGAUCGUCAAAUUUGGGUAUAGGGGCGAAAGACUAAUCGAACCAUCAGACUUGCUACUAGGUGGUUGAGAGACGCGCGAAAAGCGUGGAUCUAGCUCUGUGCAGUGAGCAACAUUAUCAAAUUGCGGGGACCUCCUGUUAACAUCCAAUGCUACCGCCGCUCCGUCGAAAGUCGAGCUGGCACCGGGUUAGUGACCCUGGGUAUGGUAAUAACGCAUUGGAUAUACGGAAAAUCCGCAGCAAACUCCCUACGGGUGCGUCCUACGGGGUCUGUCCACAGACUAAAUGAUAAUGGGUACCGUCAAAUACGGUGCUUAAGAUAUAGUCGAUCCCCCGGGAGACCGGGCCUUGGGAUCCCCAAGGGAGACACUCGUGUCUCGGGGAAGCACCUCUUACGAGGCCGCUUCAAAUGCUAGUAGCUGGU